AACAUAGGACAUAUAGCAUUGAUAUUACAGAAGGGGUCAACACAGCUCUUUUACAGGUGACCAUGCCUCCGGAAUAUCCUGGAGAAUCCCCUCCCAUGUACAUGCUCAGUGCCCCAUGGCUGAAGGGAAUGAAACGACAGGAGCUGUGUGGAUACCUGGAAGAAAUAUAUUUAGAAAAUGCUGGAGAGAGUAUUGUCUAUAUGUGGGUGGAGAAAAUACGAGAAUUCAUGACAGAACAAGCUGCACAUGAACCAGUGGUUGAAGAGAAGACUUCAAUCACUGAUGCUGUUGACAAGUUGAAGUUGAGUUUUGAAGAGGAAGUGCAGUGUCCUGAGAUAUAUUCUGGGGACAUUAUCAGUGACCGUAAGAGCCACUUCCAGCCACAUCUUGCUGCAGUUAGGUCCACAGCAGAAGUAAAUGCUGUAUUAAGAAAACUGUACCAGAAUAAGAAGGUGGCCAAUGCCACACACAACAUGUAUGCUUACCGAUUCAUCUGCGAAGGCUCUUCUAACCUACAUCAAGAUUGUGAAGAUGAUGGUGAGGACCAUGCUGGUGGACGGAUGCUGCACCUCCUUCAACUGCAGUUCUUAAGAAGACAUUGAGAAAGGACUUUCUAAUAAGAGGCUAUGUUAUCAGGCUUACAUUUAAGUCAGUGAAGGCUAAACAAAUGUUAUCAGAUUGUGGAUGCUCAGAAUGUCUUGGUUGUGGUCUCAAGAUGGUUUGGGGGCAUCCUUCUGGGGCCUGACAGAUUCAAGCAUAUAAACAAUGCUACAAGGCAGAUACUUGAAAGCUGUGGAUAUGUAAAUCAUCAGGAG